rnacentral:rRNA from 1 species
AAGUCGUAACAAGGUUUCCGUAGGUGAACCUGCGGAAGGAUCAUUACUGAGGGGCUUCGGCCCCGUCAAGAUACCACCCCUUGCAUUUUGAGUACCUCUGUUUCCUCGGCGGGCUCGCCCGCCAACGGGGACCACAACAAACCCUUCUGUAGUUGCAGUAAACGUCUAAAACAAAAUAAAAUCAAAACUUUCAACAACGGAUCUCUUGGUUCUGGCAUCGAUGAAGAACGCAGCGAAAUGCGAUAAGUAGUGUGAAUUGCAGAAUUCAGUGAAUCAUCGAAUCUUUGAACGCACAUUGCGCCCUUUGGUAUUCCUUAGGGCAUGCCUGUUCGAGCGUCAUCUAAAACCCUCAAGCACAGCUUGGUGUUGGGCGUCUUGUCCCGCCUCCGGCGCGGACUCGCCUCAAAAGCAUUGGCGGCCUGUGUAUUGGCUUCGAGCGCAGCAGACUAGCGCCUCGUCCCCUCUGCCACGGGCGUCCAUCAAGAACGCAACCCAAUGUUUGACCUCGGAUCAGGUAGGGAUACCCGCUGAACUUAA